ACGUGCCUGGAUGCUGCUCCUCUUCUAAUAAACUCUGGACGAUUCAUUCCAAAAGUUAUCUAGUGAAAUAAUAGUGAAAGUAUUUGCUAGGGUUUUCGGCCUCUGAAUUUACUUUUGAGCAGCAGCAGGAGAUAAGUGUGUACAGCUCGGUGUAAACACGUCACCUUCACCAUCCUUAAAGAGUCUGGGUGCAGCGUGAGUCUGGUAUACACCAUACCUCCUGAAUAUGGACUGUUAUUAGAUCUACUGAACGCUGCCCUGGGAACGAGGACAGAAAGAGAAGUUUAUUGCAGGUACAUAAGGAAUUGGGCCGCUCGCUGCAGGAGACUUGUGUCAAUGCCACGCCGAGUCUUUUCUCCUCUCCCACGGCCAUUCGGCUCAUCAGCAUCUGCUGGGCGAUUUCUCGCUGUUGCAGCAGGGGUGUGGACUUCUUUCCCUCUGGAGCCGGGAUGGAUACGGUCCUGAGUGUAGGAAUGAUAUUGUUCUUUGUUCCUAGGCCGAGGAAUGCAGACACGUGGCCCUGAUCCAAAUGCAAAGCGCCAGUAACAGAAUCACGCUGGUGGCACUGGAUCCAGUCCGGAAUUCAGGAGACAAUUUAUCCCAUCAACAUUUGACCAAUCACAUCUUUUCAGGGUCCUGCCUCAGCCACCACCUGAAGGACCCGAGGAGCCUUGGAACAAAGCAGAGAUCCCUUUGCUCUGUUAGCAGUGACAGUGUACUUUGGGGUGUUAAAGCGACCCACUCCAGCAUGGCACUCAUCACUGCUGGGUAGACUGACGAGCAGCUAAACCCCACUCCAUCUGCUGCAGGGCAGAAAAGAAAGUUUUCUAACCAAACUGAAUUCUUUGACAGGAUGAGGCUGCAACUUUUCUACUUCAUCUGCUGACGAUUUCAUCACAGGAACAUAUAAGUGUGUAAAUGUACAGAGCUAGAAAAGAAACACACACUACAGUACAGUAAACACAGUCAAUACAACACAAAGUCCACAUUCAACACUAUGUGGUGAAGGAAGCUUAAUUCUGCCAUUAGCUGUAGAUGGAUGAGAAGAAUGAGCAACCUUCUUGAGGGAAAUUGUGUGGUACUGGUUCUGACGGAGGAUGAGGACGGGUUCACUCUUGAGUCUGGUUCCUCUGGAGGUUCUUCCUCAUAUUAUCUCAGGGAGUGUUUCCUUACCACCACCACCUCUGGCUCGUACUGCACAGUGAAAUUCGCAUAUCCCAUCCUUGUGGCGUGAUCGCUGGGUCAGCCAUGAUGCAGUGCCCCUGGAGCUGAGGGCCUUGCUCAAGGGCCCAACAGUGGCAGCUUGUCAGUGCUGGCGCUUGAAUCCCAAUCGUCCAGCCAACAAUCUAGAACCUUAACCACUUGAGCUACCACUGCCCUGUGAGUGUGUGUAUAAUGAAAACACAGCAGCUGAACGUGUCCUUGUCAUCCUCCUACCUGAGACACGAGUGGGGUGAAGCCCAGGAGCUCAUUUACUGAGGUGGAGUUCGUGAUGUUGCUGCAGAAGAGACACACAGCUGCAGAUCAGUGUAACACAGAUGAAGCUCCAAAUCAGUCUGCUCUCAGCU